rnacentral:misc_RNA from 1 species
UUUGCUGUUGUUGUAGAGAGUGUGAGAAAUACAGAAAAAAAAAGCCAUGGCAGGAGCUUGCUUAUCUUCUUCUUGUUUGAGUUUUUCUACAAAAUUCAACACCCUUUCUCUCAAUGGACCACAUGCUGAUGCAUUUAGGUCACUCAGUUUUUCUGCUAACACUUCUCUCAAUCUGUUCUCUAAAGGGACUGUUUCAGUGAAUCCGGUGCAAAUGCCGUUUCGUCGUUCCAUUGUUUGUGAAGCUGCUCCAACAAAGAAAGCGGAUUCUGCUGCUAAAAGGGCAAGACAAGCUGAAAAGAGGAGAAUUUACCACAAGGCUAAAAAAUCUGAAGUCAGGACUAGAAUUAAGACUGUUUUGGAAGCAUUGGAGACAUUGAGGAAGAAAACUGAUGCAGAGUCAGAGGAAGUUGUUUCAGUUGAGAAGUUGAUUGCAGAGGCAUAUUCUGCAAUCGAUAAAGCAGUUAAAGUUGGAACACUUCACAGGAACACUGGUGCGAGAAGAAAAUCUCGUCUUGCUAGAAGAAAGAAAGCAGUUGAGAUUCAUCAUGGCUGGUAUGUUCCUGCUCCAGCCACUGAACCUGAUCUUGUAGCCACAGCUUGAUGUCAAUCCAUAUUUUUCAUAUUCAAUGUAAAGCAGUGACAUCUUGUGGAGAAUUCAACUUCCUAGAGUAUGAUCAGAUAUUUUUCAUUCUUG